rnacentral:rRNA from 1 species
UACGAAGGGGGCUAGCGUUGCUCGGAAUCACUGGGCGUAAAGCGCACGUAGGCGGAUUCUUAAGUCAGGGGUGAAAUCCUGGAGCUCAACUCCAGAACUGCCUUUGAUACUGAGGGUCUUGAGUUCGGGAGAGGUGAGUGGAACUGCGAGUGUAGAGGUGAGAUUCGUAGAUAUACGCAAGAACACCAGUGGCGAAGGCGGCUCACUGGCCCGAUACUGACGCUGAGGUGCGAAAGCGUGGGGAGCAAACAGG